rnacentral:lncRNA from 1 species
CACGUGAGGCCUCCGUGGCGACCUGACCCCGGCAGAGGGUGCUGGCGCUUCCUGCUGGACGGAGGGAGUUUCUGCAAUCAGAAUUAUCUUUUCAGGACAAAGCUUCGACCUGAGACCUUUCCAAGAAGUCUUAAAUUGAGCACAUUUACAAGAUGAAAAUGUCCCCAUCAUCGUUCAUCCUGUGGACAGUCCUGGAAGUUAUGAAUGGGGAUAAUGUAGGGAUGCUGUAUGUCUCCACCCUACAAGCACAAAUUCAGCGUGAA